CUGGCCUCCAAGUUUUCUAGGAUGAUGCAAUGUCCAGCCAUCAACACAUUUGUGAAGGAAUUUUUACUCGCCAAAAGAGCGCCCCCCCAUGGCAGGAGAAAAAAGUCCAUUUUUUCUUGUCCACUAAGGUGAAAAUACACAUUGUUGAGUGCUACGCCUGUAUGUUUUGUCGUAUUGACACAAAAUUUUACAUACACGUGUAUUUCAAUAAGAUCUUCGAAAAAGUCAAUGGCCACGUAUCUGUAAAAUGUACGGUUAAAGGGUUAUUUCGCAUUUUUUGCAGAUUCGCACACAUUGGAAUUUCGCUAACUCCUCCGAAGGCUUUCGUUCCACCGGCACCACAUUUGCUCAGGCCAAUCUACACCCCAUGGCCAUUAAAAGUUAUUCAAAUCAUGACGCUGCACCCCACGGUUUAGGUUCUAGGGGGCGCCAAAGAUAACCCUAAAAUCCACAUAUUUAAAAGUCUUAUAACUUUUUAUUUUUGUCCUCACUGGCCUCCAUGUUUUCUAGGAUGAUGCAAUGUCCAGCCAUCAACACAUUUGUGAAGGAGUUUUUUCUCGUUAAAAGAGCGCCCCCCAUGGCAGGAGAAUAAAGUCAAGUUUUUCCUGUUCAUCAUUCAAUGGCUCAAACGCACUGCUCUCUCGGCAAAAGCGAAAGGAGGAGCAACUUGCCAUUUGGAUAUAUCUUAGCUGUGUUUGUGCCCUCACUCAUGGUCCAGACUUUUUUCAAAUAGGACAUGGAGUUUUUCUGCAGCGAGCGCUUUGGUAGAAACUGCGCCUCCCGUUCAUUAUAAUGGUAAUUGACCACAAACAAGUGCGCACACCAUCUUUGGACCUUGAGUGUGACGCGAUCGGGUGGGGGAGGCGGUCGCGCUGGGGGCGGCGUGACACGGCUCGGGCCCGCCAGUGCCCCAACGGGGCCCUAGUUCUUUCUUUCUUUCUUCUUUUUCCUCCCCUUUGAACUGGAAAAUGGCCCACUUCCCACUGGCGAAAACUCAGGAAAUUUGGCAGGACGACCGGGCCUGGUGAAAAAUUCGUUAUUCUGAAGUCGCCCAAACAAUAAAAUGCAAAAUGGCUCCAUAGCGCCCCCUAAGGUGGAAAUUCACACUAUUGACUGUCACGCCUGUACGCUUUGUCAUAUUGACACAAAAAUUGACACACAUAUGUAUCUCAAUAAGAUCUACAAAAAAGUCAGUGCGGGCGUAUCUGUCAAAUGUACGGUUAAAGGGUUAUUUCGCAUUUUUUGCCGAUCCGCACACAUUGGAAUUUCGCUAACUCCUCCGAAGGCUUUCGUUCCACCGGCACCACAUUUGCUCAGGCCAAUCUACACCCCAUGGCCAUUAAAAGUUAUUCAAAUCAUGACGCUGCACCCCACGGUUUAGGUUCUAGGGGGCGCCAAAGAUAACCCUAAAAUCCACAUUUUUAAAAGUCUUAUAACUUUUUAUUUUUGUCCUCACUGGCCUCCAAGUUUUCUAGGAUGAUGCAAUGUCCAGCCAUCAACACAUUUGUGAAGGAAUUUUUACUCCCCAAAAGAGCGCCCCCCCAUGGCAGGAGAAAAAAGUCCAUUUUUUCUUGUCCCCUAAGGUGAAAAUACACAUUGUUGAGUGUCACGCCUAUACGCUUUGUCAAAAUGACACAAAAAUUGACACACACAUGUAUCUCAAUAAGAUCUACAAAAAAGUCCAUGCGCGCGUAUCUGUCUAAUGUACGGUUAAAGGGUUAUUCCGCAUUUUUUGCCGAUUCGCACACAUUGGAAUUUCGCUAACUCCUCCGAAGGCUUUCGUUCCACCGGCACCACAUUUGCUCAGGCCAAAUUACACCCCAUGGCCAUUAAAAGUUAUUCAAAUCAUGACGCUGCACCCCACGGUUUACGUUCUAGGGGGCGCCAAAGAUAACCCAAAAAUCCACAUUUUUAAAAGUCUUAUAACUUUUUAUUUUUGUCCUCACUGGCCUCCAAGUUUUCUAGGAUGAUGCAAUGUCCAGCCAUCAACACAUUUGUGAAGGAAUUUUUACUCCCCAAAAGAGCGCCCCCCAUGGCAGGAGAAAAAAGUCCAUUUUUUCUUGUCCCCUAAGGUGAAAAUACACAUUGUUGACUGUCACGCCUGUACGCUUUGGCAAAAUGACACAAAAAUUGACAAUCAUGUGUAUCUCAAUUAGAUCUACGAAAAAGUCAAAGAGCGCGUAUCUGUAUAAUGUACGGUAAAAGGGCUAUUUUGCAUUUUUUGCCGAUUCGCACACAUUGGAAUUUUGCUAACUCCUCCUAAGGCUUUCGUCCCACUGACACCAAAUUUGCUCAGGCCAAUCUACACUCCAUGGCCAUUCAAAGUUGUAAAAAUCAUGACGCUGCACCCCACGAUUUACGUUUUAGGGGGCGCCAAAGAUGACCCAAAUAUACAUUACAGUAGACAAAGUAGUUUUGCCCACUGAGUGGCGCCAAAGGGACUUGUCUGUGGAGUCUGUGAGUCACUAUUGGCCGUUUUUGACUACUUUAGAUUUUACCUUUAUAUUUCCUCUCACAAAAUUUUUACCUUGCCUUGCCUGGUAUCAUUUUUUUCAGCACAACCUCACCUGUGUCAAUUUACAGUUAUUUUAUCAUUUUGACAUACUAUAUUUACACAUUGGACCCAAAUUCACACACAAAACAUAAAAUCCGAGUGGAAAAAAGUAACGUUUUUACUGUGAAAACCACAAAUAUGUGUGAUGAACUGUUUUUAAACUUAAACUUCAAAUAAAAAUUGUAAACUUCAAAACAUAUGCAAAUUUUUAACAAAGAACAUAGUAAUUUACCUCUAUUGACAUCAAAAUGCAGGCAAUGGCCCAGGUGUUCUUUGUAAAAUUAUUUACAAAACACUGUAUAGUCUCACAAAUGUCACUUUUUAUUUAUGCCACUACAAAAAAACAUGAUGUAAAUGAUGCAUGAUGUAAAACAUGAUGUAAAAAACUUGUGUAGAUCCUCCUCUAUGUUAGUCCAUGUGUAAUUUUUCCAUAAUUCUUUGUUUUUUGCAGCAUUUUUGUUAGUGUAACUGCAGAUUGUGCUGACAGUGUCUAUGGCAAAAAAAAAAAAAAAACUGAAAAUGCCUCAACAUGAACCCCUGGUGGUCUCUGAGGGUGAAACCUGCUAACUGCUGCAGCUCUGUCAGCUUCAGUCUCCCAUGCAGAGCUCGGAGCGCAUGUGUGGCUCUGCACCCUUAGCAGCGUUGCUAACUCCUCAGUAAGGAAAGCCUGCUUCAUGUCAGAGUCUCUAAACUCCAGAAGAAGUCGAUAAAAGUCACUUUCUUUCUAAAAAAAAGUCGUUAGGGGGUCUGAAAAGUCAUUGAAUCUAACAACAAAGUCGCUAGGUUUGCAACUACGUGUCCCAGACUGCAUCCCUGCUGAGAGUCCCUCCCUCCCUUCUCAUAUUGCAGGAAGAACGCAAGUUCCCGCCCCUUGUCAAUCAGUCACCAUAUAAUUUUGGAUUGGUUGUUGUGGUGAAGUUUUCCACCAAUAGGAGAGAUGUUGUGGUGUGUUUUUUUUUUUCCUUUGGCAAGCCUUUUCCGCCUGUAAGACCUGUCGCUAAUGUCUGCAUGCUAUGUUUUCCUGUCUCAUACAGCGCGAUCGAGCGCCGAACGUGAUCAAAAUAAGCAGAAAACAAGAAUCGUGGACAUAAUUUAUCAUAACUCUGGUUUUAUUUGGCCUAUCAACACAAUUUAAAAACUGGUAUAUAGGUUGAGGUCCUCACUUUUGAGAUAAAUUGAAACGGAGAGUCAACGAGGCUCCGUCUUGCAGCUACAUCCAGUUAAAUAUGUCAUGUGACUUGAACGCACACACACACACACACACACACACACACACACACACACACACACACACACAGACACACACACACACGCACACACACACACUCAGAGUCUGGUUUUUAGCACCUGCAAAAACAUGCUAUUUACAUAUCUGACAAGAAUGCAGAGGCUCCUUUUGCCCCUGAAAAAAAUCAGAUUUCAAACACAACUUGACUGGUCAUUUCUCCAAAAGACAACCAUGAAGCUCCAUCCAAACCUGAAGCAGGCAGUUGGUGCAUGUGUACAGUAACCUGAGGGGAGUGAGGUGACUGCUUCUGAGGAGAACAUGAGCAGUGAAGAUUCACCUUAGAGCUAGAACAGAGACGUGCACAUGAUUAUACAGGGGCAGGGGCUCAAGUUUUUUCCAGUUGUUUAUAUAAUAUGGAAAUUAAUGUGAAAUUAAAAAACAAAGUAUUAAUAGAAAGGUAAUGACUGUCCUGUGUAGGUGACAGUGAUAUCCAAUAGGCUAGGCACUCACGAGGCUGGCUGUGGCAAGUGUAAGUGAAAGCAACAUGCACUGGCAGGAAGAACAGCAAACGCCGAUGAAGGAAAAGGGUCUUUGCAGUGAUGGGCGUUACCAGAGAGGGCGAUGGCCAGAGGACACAAAUGGGACGGGGAGGCAGCGCGUUGGGGGGGGGACGCGACACAGCUCGGGCCCGACAGUGCCCCAACGGGGUCCUAGUCUUUGUUUCUUUUUUCUUUUUCCUCCCCUUUGAACUGGAAAAUGGCCCACUUCCCACUGGCGAAAACUCAUGAAAUUUGGCAGGACGACCGGGCCUGGUGAAAAAUUUGAUAUUCUGAAGUCGCCCAAACAAUACAAUGCAAAAUGGCUCCAUAGCGCCCCCUAAGGUGAAAAAUUCACCUGACGCCUGUACGCUUUGUCAAAAUGACACAAAAAUUGACACACACAUGUAUCUCAAUAAGAUCUACAAAAAAGUCAGUGCGGGCGUAUCUGUCAAAUGUACGGUUAAAGGGUUAUUGCGCAUUUUUUGCCGAUCCGCACACAUUGGAAUUUCGCUAACUCCUCCGAAGGCUUUCGUUCCACCGGCACCACAUUUGCUCAGGCCAAUCUACACCCCAUGGCCAUUAAAAGUUAUUCAAAUCAUGACGCUGCACCCCACGGUUUAGGUUCUAGGGGGCGCCAAAGAUAACCCUAAAAUCCACAUAUUUCAAAGUCUUAUAACUUUUUAUUUUUGCCCUCACUGGCCUCCAAGUUUUCUAGGAUGAUGCAAUGUCCAGCCAUCAACACAUUUGUGAAGGAAUUUUUACUCCCCAAAAGAGCGCCCCCCCAUGGCAGGAGAAAAAAGUCCAUUUUUUCUUGUCCCAUAAGGUGAAAAUUCACACUAUUGACUGUCACGCCUGUACGCUUUGUCAAAAUUACACAAAAAUUGACACACACAUGUAUCUCAAUAAGAUCUACAAAAAAGUCAGUGCGGGCGUAUCUGUCAAAUGUACGGUUAAAGGGUUAUUGCGCAUUUUUUGCCGAUCCGCACACAUUGGAAUUUCGCUAACUCCUCCGAAGGCUUUCGUUCCACCGGCACCACAUUUGCUCAGGCCAAUCUACACCCCAUGGCCAUUAAAAGUUAUUCAAAUCAUGACGCUGCACCCCACGGUUUAGGUUCUAGGGGGCGCCAAAGAUAACCCUAAAAUCCACAUAUUUAAAAGUCUUAUAACUUUUUAUUUUUGUCCUCUCUGGCCUCCAAGUUUUCUAGGAUGAUGCAAUGUCCAGCCAUCAACACAUUUGUGAAGGAAUUUUUACUCCCUAAAAGAGCGCCCCCCCAUGGCAGGAGAAAAAAGUCCAUUUUUUCUUGUCCCAUAAGGUGAAAAUACACAUUUUUGACUGUCAAACCUGUAUGCUUUGUCAUAUUGACACAAAAUUUGACACACACAUGUAUCUCAAUAAGAUCUACGAAAAAGUCAAUGCGCGCGUAUCUGUAAAAUGUACGGUUAAAGGGCUAUUUUGCAUUUUUUGCCGAUUAGCACACAUUGGAAUGUGGCUAACUCCUCCUAAGGCUUUCGUCCCACUGACACCAAAUUUGCUCAGGCCAAUCUACACCCCAUGGCCAUUCAAAGUUUUUAAAAAUCAUGACGCUGCACCCCACGGUUUACGUUCUAGGGGGCGCCAAAGAUGACCCAAAUAUCCACAUUCUUAAAAGAAUCCACAUUCCCCCCCCCCCCCAUCCCCCAUCCCCCAUCCCCCAUGGCAGGAGAAACAGUCAAGUUUUUCCUGCCCAUCACUCAAUGGCUCAAUCGCAUCGCUCUCCCGGCAACACCGUAACGAGGAGCAACUUGCCGUUUGGAUAUAUCCUAGCUGUGUUUGUGCCCUCACUCAUGGUCCAGACUUUUUUCAAAUAGGACAUGUAGUUUGUCUGCAGCGAGUGCUUUGGUAGAAACUGCGCCUCCCAUUCAUUAUAAUGGGAAAUGACCACAGACAAGUGCGCACACCAUCUUUGGACCUUGAGUGUGACGCGAUCGGGAGGGGGAGGCGGUCGCACUGGGGGCGGCGCAACGCGGCUCGGGCCCGCCAGUGCCCCAACGGGGCCCUAGUUAGGGCCCGAGCCAGCUGCAGAGCAGCCGGGCGUAGGCCCUAUUAUUCCCCAAGUGGUUUUUCUUUGUUUCUUUCUUUCUUUCUUUCUUUCUUUCUUUCUUCUUUUUCCUCCCCUUUGAACUGGAAAAUGGCCCACUUCCCACUGCCGAAAACUCAUGAAAUUUGGCAGGACGACCGGGCCUGGUGAAAAAUUCGAUAUUCUGAAGUCGCCCAAACAAUAAAAUGCAAAAUGGCUCCAUAGCGCCCCCUAAGGUGGAAAUUCACACUAUUGACUGUCACGCCUGUACGCUUUGUCAUAUUGACACAAAAAUUGACACACAUAUGUAUCUCAAUAAGAUCUACAAAAAAGUCAGUGCGGCCGUAUCUGUCAAAUGUACGGUUAAAGGGUUAUUUCGCAUUUUUUGCCGAUCCGCACACAUUGGAAUUUCGCUAACUCCUCCGAAGGCUUUCGUUCCACCGGCACCACAUUUGCUCAGGCCAAUCUACACCCCAUGGCCAUUAAAAGUUAUUCAAAUCAUGACGCUGCACCCCACGGUUUAGGUUCUAGGGGGCGCCAAAGAUAACCCUAAAAUCCACAUAUUUAAAAGUCUUAUAACUUUUUAUUUUUGCCCUCACUGGCCUCCAAGUUUUCUAGGAUGAUGCAAUGUCCAGCCAUCAACACAUUUGUGAAGGAAUUUUUACUCCCCAAAAGAGCGCCCCCCCAUGGCAGGAGAAAAAAGUCCAUUUUUUCUUGUCCCCUAAGGUGAAAAUUCACACUAUUGACUGUCACGCCUGUACGCUUUGUCAAAAUGACACAAAAAUUGACACACACAUGUAUCUCAAUAAGAUCUACAAAAAAGUCCAUGCGCGCGUAUCUGUCUAAUGUACGGUUAAAGGGUUAUUUCGCAUUUUUUGCCGAUCCGCACACAUUGGAAUUUCGCUAACUCCUCCGAAGGCUUUCGUUCCACCGGCACCACAUUUGCUCAGGCCAAUCUACACCCCAUGGCCAUUAAAAGUUAUUCAAAUCAUGACGCUGCACCCCACGGUUUACGUUCUAGGGGGCGCCAAAGAUAACCCAAAAAUCCACAUUUUUAAAAGUCUUAUAACUUUUUAUUUUUGUCCUCACUGGCCUCCAAGUUUUCUAGGAUGAUGCAAUGUCCAGCCAUCAACACAUUUGUGAAGGAAUUUUUACUCCCCAAAAGAGCGCCCCCCAUGGCAGGAGAAAAAAGUCAAUUUUUUCUUGUCCCCUAAGGUGAAAAUACACAUUGUUGACUGUCACGCCUGUACGCUUUGGCAAAAUGACACAAAAAUUGACAAUCAUGUGUAUCUCAAUUAGAUCUACGAAAAAGUCAAAGAGCGCGUAUCUGUAUAAUGUACGGUAAAAGGGCUAUUUUGCAUUUUUUGCCGAUUCGCACACAUUGGAAUUUCGCUAACUCCUCCUAAGGCUUUCGUCCCACUGACACCAAAUUUGCUCAGGCCAAUCUACACUCCAUGGCCAUUCAAAGUUGUAAAAAUCAUGACGCUGCACCCCACGGUUUACGUUUUAGGGGGCGCCAAAGAUGACCCAAAUAUACAUUACAGUAGACAAAGUAGUUUUGCCCACUGAGUGGCGCCAAAGGGACUUGUCUGUGGAGUCUGUGAGUCACUAUUGGCCGUUUUUGACUACUUUAGAUUUUACCUUUAUAUUUCCUCUUACAAAAUUUUUACCUUGCCUUGCCUGGUAUCAUUUUUUUCAGCACAACCUCACCUGUGUCAAUUUACAGUUAUUUUAUCAUUUUGACAUACUAUAUUUACACAUUGGACCCAAAUUCACACACAAAACAUAAAAUCCGAGUGGAAAAAAGUAAUGUUUUUACUGUGAAAACCACAAAUAUGUGUGAUGAACUGUUUUUAAAACUUAAACUUCAAAUAAAAAUUGUAAACUUCAAAACAUAUGCAAAUUUUUAACAAAGAACAUAGUAAUUUACCUCUAUUGACAUCAAAAUGCAGGCAAUGGCCCAGGUGUUCUUUGUAAAAUUAUUUACAAAACACUGUAUAGUCUCACAAAUGUCACUUUUUAUUUAUGCCACUACAAAAAAACAUGAUGUAAAUGAUGCAUGAUGUAAAACAUGAUGUAAAAAACUUGUGUAGAUCCUCCUCUAUGUUAGUCCAUGUGUAAUUUUUCCAUAAUUCUUUGUUUUUUGCAGCAUUUUUGUUAGUGUAACUGCAGAUUGUGCUGACAGUGUCUAUGGCAAAAAAAAAAAAAACAAACUGAAAAUGCCUCAACAUGAACCCCUGGUGGUCUCUGAGGGUGAAACCUGCUAACUGCUGCAGCUCUGUCAGCUUCAGUCUCCCAUGCAGAGCUCGGAGCGCAUGUGUGGCUCUGCACCCUUAGCAGCGUUGCUAACUCCUCAGUAAGGAAAGCCUGCUUCAUGUCAGAGUCUCUAAACUCCAGAAGAAGUCGAUAAAAGUCCCUUUCUUUCUAAAAAAAAGUCGUUAGGGGGUCUGAAAAGUCAUUGAAUCUAACAACAAAGUCGCUAGGUUUGCAACUACGUGUCCCAGACUGCAUCCCUGCUGAGAGUCCCUCCCUCCCUUCUCAUAUUGCAGGAAGAACGUAAGUUCUCGCCCCUUGUCAAUCAGUCACCAUAUAAUUUUGGAUUGGUUGUUGUGGUGAAGUUUUCCACCAAUAGGAGAGAUGUUGUGGUGUGUAUUUUUUUUCCUUUGGCAAGCCUUUUCCGCCUGUAAGACCUGUCGCUAAUGUCUGCAUGCUAUGUUUUCCUGUCUCAUACAGCGCGAUCGAGCGCCGAACGUGAUCAAAAUAAGCAGAAAACAAGUAUCGCGGACAUAAUUUAUCAUAACUCUGGUUUUAUUUGGCCUAUCAACACAAUUUAAAAACUGGUAUAUAGGUUGAGGUCCUCACUUUUGAGAUAAAUUGAAACGGAGAGUCAACGAGGCUCCGUCUUGCAGCUACAUCCGGUUAAAUAUGUCAUGUGACUUGAACGCACACACACACACACACACACAGACACACACACACACACGCACACACACACACUCAGAGUCUGGUUUGUAGCACCUGCAAAAACAUGCUAUUUACAUAUUUGACAAGAAUGCAGAGGCUCCUUUUGCCCCUGAAAAAAAUCAAAUUUCAAACACAACUUGACUGGUCAUUUCUCCAAAAGACAACCAUGAAGCUCCAUCCAAACCUGAAGCAGGCAGUUGGUGCAUGUGUACAGUAACCUGAGGGGAGUGAGGUGACUGCUUCUGAGGAGAACAUGAGCAGUGAAGAUUUACCUUAGAGCUAGAACAGAGACGUGCACAUGAUUAUACAGGGGCAGGGGCUCAAGUUUUUUCCAGUCGUUUAUACAAUUUGGAAAUUAAUGUGAAAUUAAAAAACAAAGUAUUAAUAGAAAGGUAAUGACUGUCCUGUGUAGGUGACAGUGAUAUCCAAUAGGCUAGGCACUCACGAGGCUGGCUGUGGCAAGUGUAAGUGAAAGCAACACGCACUGGCAGGAAGAACAGCAAACGCCGAUGAAGGAAAAGGGUCUUUGCAGUGAUGGGCGUUACCAAAGAGGGCGAUGGCCAGAGGACACAAAUGGGACGGGGAGGCAGCGCGUUGGGGGGGGGACGCGACACAGCUCGGGCCCGCCAGUGCCCCAACGGGGUCCUAGUUAUUAUUAUUUUUCCUCCCCUUUGAACUGGAAAAUGGCCCACUUCCCACUGGCGAAAACUCAUGAAAUUUGGCAGGACGACCGGGCCUGGUGAAAAAUUUGAUAUUCCGAAGUCGCCCAAACAAGAAAAUGCAAAAUGGCUCCAUAGCGCCCCCUAAGGUGAAAAUUCACACUAUUCACUGUCACGCCGGUACGCUUUGUCAAAAUGACACAAAAAUUGACACACACAUGUAUCUCAAUAAGAUCUACAAAAAAGUCAGUGCGGGCGUAUCUGUCAAAUGUACGGUUAAAGGGUUAUUUCGCAUUUUUUGCCGAUCCGCACACAUUGGAAUUUCGCUAACUCCUCCGAAGGCUUUCGUUCCACCGGCACCACAUUUGCUCAGGCCAAUCUACACCCCAUGGCCAUUAAAAGUUAUUCAAAUCAUGACGCUGCACCCCACGGUUUAGGUUCUAGGGGGCGCCAAAGAUAACCCUAAGAUCCACAUAUUUAAAAGUCUUAUAACUUUUUAUUUUUGCCCUCACUGGCCUCCAAGUUUUCUAGGAUGAUGCAAUGUCCAGCCAUCAACACAUUUGUGAAGGAAUUUUUACUCCCCAAAAGAGCGCCCCCCCAUGGCAGGAGAAAAAAGUCCAUUUUUUCUUGUCCCCUAAGGUGAAAAUACACAUUGUUGAGUGUAACACCUGUACGCUUUGGCAAAAUGACACAAAAAUUGACACACACAUGUAUCUCAAUAAGAUCUUCGAAAAAGUCAAUGGCCACGUAUCUGUAAAAUGUACGGUUAAAGGGUUAUUUCGCAUUUUUUGCAGAUUCGCACACAUUGGAAUUUGGCUAACUCCUCCUAAGGCUUUCGUCCCACUGACACCAAAUUUGCUCAGGCCAAUCUACACCCCAUGGCCAUUCAAAGUUGUAAAAAUCAUGACGCUGCACCCCACGGUUUACGUUCUAGGGGGCGCCAAAGAUGACCCAAAAAUCCACAUUCUUAAAAGAAUCCACAUCCCCCCCUAUGGCAGGAGAAAAAGUCAAGUUUUUCCUGCCCAUCGCUCAAUGGCUCAAUCGCAUCGCUCUCCAGGCAACACCGUAAGGAGGAGCAACCUGGCAUUUCGAUAUAUCAUAGCUGUGUUUGUGCCCUCACUCAUGGUCCAGACUUUUUUCAAAUAGGACAUGAAGUUUGUCUGCAGCGAGUGUUUUGGUAGAAACUGCGCCUCCCAUUCAUUAUAAUGGGAAAUGACCACAGACAAGUGCGCACACCAUCUUUGGACCUUGAGUGUGACGCGAUCGGGAGGGGGAGGCGGUCGCACUGGGGGCGGCGCAACGCGGCUCGGGCCCGCCAGUGCCCCAACGGGGCCCUAGUUAGGGCCCGAGCCAGCUGCAGAGCAGCCGGGCGUAGGCCCUAUUAUUCCCCAAGUGGUUUUUCUUUGUUUCUUUCUUUCUUUCUUUAGGGCCCGAGCGUAGCUGCUAAGCAGCUGCGAGAGCCCUCUUGUUCCUGCAUGUUUCCUUCUUUUGUUAUUAUUAUUAUUUUUCCUCCCCUUUGAACUGGAAAAUGGCCCACUUCCCACUGGCGAAAACUCAUGAAAUUUGGCAGGACGACCGGGCCUGGUGAAAAAUUUGAUAUUCCGAAGUCGCCCAAACAAGAAAAUGCAAAAUGGCUCCAUAGCGCCCCCUAAGGUGAAAAUUCACACUAUUGACUGUCACGCCUGUACGCUUUGUCAUAUUGACACAAAAAUUGACACACGUAUGUAUCUCAAUAAGAUCUACAAAAAAGUCAGUGCGGGCGUAUCUGUCAAAUGUACGGUUAAAGGGUUAUUUCGCAUUUUUUGCCGAUCCGCACACAUUGGAAUUUCGCUAACUCCUCCGAAGGCUUUCGUUCCACCGGCACCACAUUUGCUCAGGCCAAUCUACACCCCAUGGCCAUUAAAAGUUAUUCAAAUCAUGACGCUGCACCCCACGGUUUAGGUUCUAGGGGGCGCCAAAGAUAACCGUAAAAUCCACAUAUUUAAAAGUCUUAUAACUUUUUAUUUUUGCCCUCACUGGCCUCCAAGUUUUCUAGGAUGAUGCAAUGUCCAGCCAUCAACACAUUUGUGAAGGAAUUUUUACUCCCCAAAAGAGCGCCCCCCCAUGGCAGGAGAAAAAAGUCCAUUUUUUCUUGUCCCCUAAGGUGAAAAUACACAUUGUUGAGUGUAACACCUGUAUGCUUUGGCAAAAUGACACAAAAAUUGACACACACAUGUAUCUCAAUAAGAUCUACGAAAAAGUCAUAGCGCGCGUAUCUGUCAAAUGUACGGUUAAAGGGUUAUUCCGCAUUUUUUGCCGAUCCGCACACAUUGGAAUUUCGCUAACUCCUCCGAAGGCUUUCGUUCCACCGGCACCACAUUUGCUCUGGCCAAUCUACACCCCAUGGCCAUUAAAAGUUAUUCAAAUCAUGACGCUGCACCCCACGGUUUAGGUUCUAGGGGGCGCCAAAGAUAACCGUAAAAUCCACAUAUUUAAAAGUCUUAUAACUUUUUAUUUUUGUCCCCACUGGCCUCCAAGUUUUCUAGGAUGAUGCAAUGUCCAGCCAUCAACACAUUUGUGAAGGAAUUUUUACUCGCCAAAAGAGCGCCCCCCAUGGCAGGAGAAAAAAGUCCAUUUUUUCUUGUCCACUAAGGUGAAAAUACACAUUGUUGAGUGCUACGCCUGUAUGUUUUGUCGUAUUGACACAAAAUUUUACAUACACGUGUCUUUCAAUAAGAUCUUCAAAAAAGUCAAUGGCCACGUAUCUGUCAAAUGUACGGUUAAAGGGUUAUUUCGCAUUUUUUGCAGAUUCGCACACAUUGGAAUUUCGCUAACUCCUCCGAAGGCUUUCGUUCCACCGGCACCACAUUUGCUCAGGCCAAUCU